rnacentral:rRNA from 1 species
AGAGUUUGAUCAUGGCUCAGAUUGAACGCUGGCGGCAUGCUUUACACAUGCAAGUCGAACGGCAGCACGGGUGCUUGCACCUGGUGGCGAGUGGCGAACGGGUGAGUAAUAUAUCGGAACAUGUCCGGAAGUGGGGGAUAGCUCGGCGAAAGCCGGAUUAAUACCGCAUAUGCCCUGAGGGGGAAAGGAGGGGAUCCGCAAGGACCUUUCGCUUUCGGAGUGGCCGAUAUCGGAUUAGCUAGUUGGUGGGGUAAAGGCUUACCAAGGCGACGAUCCGUAGCUGGUCUGAGAGGACGACCAGCCACACUGGAACUGAGACACGGUCCAGACUCCUACGGGAGGCAGCAGUGGGGAAUUUUGGACAAUGGGGGCAACCCUGAUCCAGCCAUGCCGCGUGAGUGAAGAAGGCCUUCGGGUUGUAAAGCUCUUUCAGACGGAAAGAAACGGUCACGGCCAAUACCCGUGACUAAUGACGGUACCGUCAGAAGAAGCACCGGCUAACUACGUGCCAGCAGCCGCGGUAAUACGUAGGGUGCGAGCGUUAAUCGGAAUUACUGGGCGUAAAGCGUGCGCAGGCGGUUUUGUAAGACAGAUGUGAAAUCCCCGGGCUUAACCUGGGAACUGCAUUUGUGACUGCAAGACUAGAGUACGGCAGAGGGGGGUAGAAUUCCACGUGUAGCAGUGAAAUGCGUAGAUAUGUGGAGGAAUACCGAUGGCGAAGGCAGCCCCCUGGGUCGAUACUGACGCUCAUGCACGAAAGCGUGGGGAGCAAACAGGAUUAGAUACCCUAGUAGUCC